CUACGUGCCAGCAGCCGCGGUAAUACGUAGGGCGCGAGCGUUGUCCGGAAUUAUUGGGCGUAAAGAGCUUGUAGGCGGUUGGUCGCGUCUGCUGUGAAAGGCCGGGGCUUAACUCCGGUUUUGCAGUGGGUACGGGCUAACUAGAGUGCAGUAGGGGAGACUGGAAUUCCUGGUGUAGCGGUGGAAUGCACAGAUAUCAGGAGGAACACCGAUGGCGAAGGCAGGUCUCUGGGCUGUAACUGACGCUGAGAAGCGAAAGCAUGGGGAGCGAACAGGAUUAGAUACCCUGGUAGUCCAUGCCGUAAACGAUGGGUACUAGGUGUAGGAGGUAUCAACCCCUUCUGUGCCGGAGUUAACGCAAUAAGUACCCCGCCUGGGGAGUACGACCGCAAGGUUGAAACUCAAAGGAAUUGACGGGGGCCCGCACAAGCGGUGGAGUAUGUGGUUUAAUUCGACGCAACGCGAAGAACCUUACCAGGUCUUGACAU
rnacentral:rRNA from 1 species